rnacentral:rRNA from 1 species
UACGGGGGGGGUAAGCGUUGUUCGGAAUUACUGGGCGUAAAGGGCUCGUAGGCGGCCAACUAAGUCAGACGUGAAAUCCCUCAGCUUAACUGGGGAACUGCGUCUGAUACUGGAUGGCUUGGAUUCGGGAGAGGAAUGCGGAAUUCCAGGUGUAGCGGUGAAAUGCGUAGAUAUCUGGAGGAAGACCAGUGGCGAAGGCGGGUCUCUGGACAGUUCCUGACGCUGAGGCACGAAGGUCAGGGGAGCAAGCGGG